UUCACACUUGCUGUCUGGUCACCCUAAUGUCUCGGCCAUGCAAAACUCUCCGUGAGUGUCUGAUUUUUCCUGAAAUCAGAGCAAUCAGAUCUUCAGUCACACUAUUGGUGUGUCUAUUUAAAACCUCAGUUCUCUCUCCUGCCUUAAUUUCCCUGCAGUUGUGCAUUCUGAUAGUGUUACAGCUCCACCUCUCUUCUCUUUAGUCCCAAAAGGUUGAAAUUUGCCUUUAAAUUAGACAAACAACAAUAAGUGAUAAAGUCAAACAAACAAAAAGGAAUUAAAAAAAAGAUGUUGAACAAAACCAGGGCUAAAGCACGUGAGCAGUGUAACGCGGCAGGACUAAGGUAACUUCCAGGGCUUCACAGUAAUUAACCUUCCGAAACACUGGCAUAGUGGGACCACUCUGUUUCUUUCCAGCGGUGAUAGAAGUUGACUGGGAACUGGGAAAUAUUUACUUCCCAGUUUGCAGUUAUAUUCUAAAAUGCAGUGGAAAAACAUUGAUACAAUUAAGUAUUCCAAAGUGCUUAGUUUGCCACUUACUAAGUUUACUUAAACCCUCUUUAAAGGGUUCAUUAGAAGACUGUGAGAAACGGUAAAAUUCAUUAACACUAAGGCAGCCAUUCUGCAUUUGCCUGUAAAUUGGUAUUGAUCUGCCAGCUCGGGCUAGGGGUAGCAGUCAAAUGAAGCAGGUGAGUGGACAAGCUGAGCAUACCAUUACAGCAAUGCUGAAUGAGCAUUAAGCGCCCCGUGUGACCUCCUGGUUUGCCUGAUGCCUAAAGCCUGCCCAUAAUAGUCUCGUAUUCAGUACAAUCAUCAUUUUCAGCAGUGCCACUCGGACCACAUUGUUAGGGGAGCUUUAAAGCUCAGAGUGGCUGUGAGGCAAUGAGGGAGAAGAGCGAGAGAGAGAGAGAGAGAGAGAGAGAAAGGAAAAAAAGAGACUGACUGACUAAUGAAAACAGGAGAAAGAGCCAUACACACACACACACACCCCACACGCAUGCAGAGGAGUGCUUGAGGAGUAACUUGCAGACUUCCACUCUGGCCUAUGCUUUCUGGCAUCUACCUUUGGCUGCCCCGUUCUGCUUUUUAUUUUGCAUAUCUGCAGGUAUGUUACAGGCAUCCUCAGCUGUCAUGGAGUUCAACCGGAUGAUAUUUAAAAACAAUUAAAAACCAACCCCCAAGCCUCAAAAGGGCUUUCCAGGUUUCUUAUCUGCAAGGUAGUGUUUCACUUACAGUGACCUGCAAAGGAAAAAUCUCUGGAGUCUCUAGUGUUCAACUUGCUCCUACUUCUUAACAUCUGCAAAGAACAUGGGCCAUGAGUGCCUGAUGAAAGCGCUUCCCUUGAAGGCCUGAAAGGUGGAACAAAGUGCAGGACAAUGGCUCUGGAUGGGGAAAGGCAAAUAGCCCACCGGUUGAGGAAGUUGAAAACAAUGCAAGAUACGCGUUGCUGUAGCAAAGGUUGUUACAGCAGUACAAGAAGUUUUUCCAUACCAAAGGUGAGAGGUAGGAUGUCGUCUCGAACUUGCUGGAGGAAGCCAUGUAUCAUAUAUGCAAUAUGUCAUUUGUGAUCCCGCAGGAAGCACUGCUGGGAGAGCAGGCCAGCGAAAAGGUCUAGACGCUGAUGAGAUUUACACCAUUAAAUAAAAACAAACAAACAAAAAAGACCUCACUGGAGAAAAAAGCAGAGAAGUAGCAAAUGGCAUCAAAAUGAAACUGACCAAGUUCCAAGCUGGUGAAAGGAGGGAAUGUUUAAAGAUGCCAAGGAGUGUUGAAAAACCCAGACUGGUCUCAGUCAAUGACCUUGGGCUAGGACUGAGGCCAAUAAAGCAGUAUCCUAAGUUGAUGCACUGGUGCUACAGCAUGAAGCCAAGAAACACACUAUGUCAUAGAAGAGAUGGAAGAAAAAGCAGCCAGACAGAGCGAAAUGAGUCAUAAUGACGUGCCCAGUGCACCCAUUUCUAAAGAAGAGCUUUUGAAGAUCUGAGCAGAACAGCAAACAGCUGUUGUGCUGGAUCCCAAGCAGAUAUUUGGAUCCAUGGGCCACAUUAUCCUGAAGUUCAGGGGGAUUUGGAUUCAGGGAUUUGGUUCUGGCCCUUCCCUAACAACAAAGAAGAAGCUUUGCCUUCGGCAGAGACAUUGGAGGCAGACAUUCCUAGUAAGUCCUGAUGCUGUGUGGCGGAGAAGAGACAGGAGCACAUUACCCUCCAUGCCCCACACUUAAACAGGGGUAGGUUGUUUUGCAGGGGAUGCUUCUGGGUAGUGCAGAAAGUAGGUAGAAUAUGGUCCCUUUCCAUUUCACUUGCCUGGCUUGGACUCAGCCCAAAUGUUUGUGUUCAGGCCAAGCCACUGCACUGCCCAAUCCUAUUGCUGCCAAGCAGCAAUGGCAGACGCUCGCUACAUUGAGUAUCAUUCCUCAAAUAGCCUGCAAUGAUGCUAAACGCAAGGAGAUUGCUUUUCAGUGAAACUGAUGACAUGCAGGACUGGCCUAGAAAAAAGAAAGCGAGAGAAUCUAAAGUCUAAACAGAUCUGUAGUUUCCCUGCUAGUUCAGAGCAUAAUCAAUUUUCAGCCUUUGGAAACUAAAAUAGCUCUGAUUUAAAAAAUUCCACAGUUCUUUUCUCCUUUGUGUCUCCAUUGCCUUAUGAAGAGCUCAGAGUGUUUUGCACUUUGUAACAAAGCUUUGCACUUCCAUAGCACCUUUCAUCUGAGGAUUUUGAAGAUAUUGUAGAGGUGAGCCUGGGACCUGACACAUGGGGAAGUUAAAUGACUUGCACAAGGUGACAGAACAAGUCUGUGGCAGAGAUAUUGGGAGAAAUCCUGGUCCUGUUGAAGACAAAACUCCUGUUGACUUUAAUGGAGCCAGGCUUCCACCUGUAGAACAUAAGUGUGAAAUUAAAUGUGUGGUGUUUGCCUCAGUGCAGUGCUAUGUUAACAAACUAUGAGAAGCAGCUUGGUCUACAAGAGUGAGUUCUUCUUGCUCUGUGAUCUUGUGGGCAACUCACCUUAUCUCUGCCUCAAUUUCUCCAGCUAAUAAUAAUUAUCUACCUACUUCACAGGGGUGUUUCAAGCCAGCAUUGGUCCAGGACUUUGAGAGCUGUAUAUGUACUAAGUCUCAUUAUGUCGCUUUUCACAACUGAGAGGAAUAUUCCCUCAUAUUUAUGGCUGAACAAUGAAGGCCAAGCAACCUUGAUUUGUUUUGAUUAUUGUGAACUAUCAUGAAAUAUCAAUUUACUUUGUGGAUGUUGGUUUUACAAACUCCAUAGUUUGGAGUGCCUGAGAAGAAAUAGUCUCCCGAUGAUGAAGAAUACACUUUCACUUCUGCACUGUUCUGUGUUCCUCAUAUGACAAAGAGAAACUGUAUAUGAAGCACAGUUCUUUGUUGCCUCUAUGGGAAUAAAGGAAAUGUAUUGUCAGUUUCUUUAUUUCUGAUCCCAGUUUGAUACGUCAAUCAUCUGAUGUGGAUCAAAGAAGUCACCUUAAAUAGGUAUGAAUGGAGACUUCUGAUUUAUCUUUAUUAUAGGAGCUAAAUAAAUGGCUUGUUUGCGCUUGUAAAUCAUAACAUUUCUAAAU